GAGAUAGCUCAGCCAGUAGAUCAUGAAGCUCUUAAUUUCAGGGUUGUGGGUUCGAGCCCCUCGUUGGGCA